AUGAACCAGCGUUUCCCCUCCCUCUAUCGUGAUGUACUGGGGUCUUGGUGGUGACUCCUCCCAUUGUCUGGUGGGGAGGGGGGGACAUAUGCUGCUGAGAUGGCAGAUGCUGAGACCUGUGAAAAUUUUGCUCAUCCAGUCAGCACUUACCAAAACAAAAAAAGGAGAACACUUACUUUGGCCAGAGGGUAGCAAUUCGCUAACAAACCCAAAUAAACUGUCCAGCCAGAGGGGAAACUGAGGCAAUGGCUGCAUCCUAAUUCCAGAGCAGGAUGCCAAUGAAGGCCAGGGUGUGGAGCUAGCGGGAACAUAGAGGAGGACGCCCGGAAGAAAGAGGAGCAUGUUAUCCUGCACCUCUACCCAGAGGAGCAGGUUGAGCAAGCCCCUCCUGACAAGCAAGGAGGACCUUGAGGCUCAGUACAAAUUGGAACCUGAGGCUGGAUCUUCCGCUGAGCAGAGUGAACCCAUUCUACCCAGGAAUAGUAGAGGAAGACAGAAAAGGACACUGGAAGACCUGGUCAUUGGGAUCAACAGAUGGAGCCAGGAGCAGUUUCCCUUUAUGAGGGAAAGGGAAAAACAGGAUAUUGAGUAGGAGGAACAGGCUAUGCAGCAGGAGAUAUUUUCAAAGACAAGAGGUAUUAAUUAUCUGGUUCCUGUAGCAAUAUGCACAGAGCUUGUCCAAAGGGACUGGGAGUAUGCCCUGUUGCAAUCCCUGGUACAAGUGAUAGAGGAACGGAAUCGGGUUCUGCCUGCAUAAUAGCUGCUCCCAUAACUGGGAACUGCCACCUUCUUCUCCAGCUACUCCUCUUCCUACUGCAUCUACAUCCCACCAUGACGCUGAAGCAGAGGACUCACCCCAUCCACCACGACAGUCCCAGUCUCUUCAGCACCUUGGCAUCAUUAACCUUUCUUGUGUGUCCAAUGUUAGUGUUCAUAAAUCUGACUUUGUGGUCCACUAUGCCUUGAAGAAUGAGUGAAGAGUAACCUUUUUGAUUGAUGCACUCACUCGUGCCUUUUGGAGGGCAAAGUAGAGGAAUGUAGGUGCCAUUGAUGUCCUCCCCCACCCCCAGUUUAGAAACCCCAUUCUCUGGAACCCAGCAAUAAUUUUUGGUACUUUGAUGAUGGAGACCACCCAAGCGUAGAUGAGUGUUGAAACUUGCACCAGCCUCAAAAGGGGACUUCCCCACCCUGAAGUGGUUUGCAGCUGACCAGUAGCUGUCUGAUAUUGCCAGCUCCCAGAGGGCAAUAGCCACCCGCUUCUCUGCUGGUAUGGGUCUUCGGAAAUGAGUACUCUGCUGCAGUAGGAUUGAGACCAGCUCCUCACAGAGCUCUAUGAAAGUCUGCUUUCUCAUUCUGAAGUUCUGCAGUCACUGGUCCUCCUGCCAGCUUUCCAAGAUGAUAUGAUCCCACCACACUGUGCUGGUUCUCCUGGUCCAGAAGUGAUGGUCCACCCAUGGACAUACAGUCACAGCACAAGCAGUGUCCUGUAUCUUGGAGUAACAGUGGAUCAGUCACCACCUCGAUCAUCCGUUUUCAGCUUUUGAGAAGGGUCCAAGUCUAUACAACUAGGAUUCUUGUUGGCUGUAUCUCACACACACACAUACACACACUCUUUCUCCUCCCCCACCCCCCACAGGAGCAGAAUUGCCUCAUCAGUCACUUGUUCUAUGUCUUCGACCAAGUUAGGCAGGAGAGAAGGGUGAGCGGGAGGUGCCAUCAUCAAAUGUGCGAAGCUGUCUGCAGUACCUCCCACACACAGCAAGGUAAAUCCAAGAUCCUCUUCUCCGAUGCGCAGAACACUGAGAUACCAACCCUGAAACACUAGAGCUAACCUCAUGCACCAAAAGAAGUUAGUGUGGAUGGGGAUGUACCCAGGUACCUACAGAGUGUGUACCUGUGUCCAGCACAGUAUAUGUGGACACUCAGUACAGGCAUGGGUAUAUGUGCAAGCAUACGUAUGGCCCUGUAUCCCCGUCCAGGCACCAGUGUAGAUGUAGUUCUGAGUACUUCUAGAGUGCUGGCACCUCUGAAAUACCAAUGUAAAUUUUGUCACAUUACUACACAUAGUGGGGAAUUACACAUGUAGAUGAAGUAAUUAAAUAUGUAGUUUAGCAUCUUUUAAAUAAGUAUUCUGUGAGUUAAUAACUGUGCCUUACCAAAUGUAUUAGCUCAAUCUUUGGCUGUGGCUGAGAAGCAGACAAUACAACUCAGAAGCAGAGCUGUAAUACACUUUUGUGCUCCAUGUUUCUGAGCCAUCUAUACCCCAGACCAGUCCCCCGGCAUAAUUUAGAGUAGCCUUCAGACUGUUCUAAUUUAAGAUGACUGCCAGAGGCCCCAAGAGUACAUAAUAGAAGACAGAGAUUGCUAGGAUUCCAGGAAAAUGUGGCCAUGUCCUUUUCUUGUUAGCCACAUCCAACACCCACCACUCCAAAUGAAAUGGGUUGCACAGGAGUCAUUAAACUGACUGUCCCUAGAGUGGAGUGAUCUGUCCAUAAGUAACCACUGGUGAUUUCCUUGCCAGCGUGGUACAAAGCAACCUUGGUACAGGUGAGGACUGGGACUAUUGAAUUUGUGUGUGUACUGACAAAGGUAAGGUUGCUAUCUUUUUAACUGCAUGUAUGUAUUCAAACAUUAUGUGUGAAACAUUGUCAUUUUAUUAAAGAUGGAUAAAGAAUUUUAACUUAGAAAGUUAACUUUUUUAUCCACCUGAGGAAAAAGGGGAGUGUGAAGCCCAAAGCUGCUAGAAAAGAGGCUAAGGGCCUCUGGGCCCAGGAGGGCAAUAGGGCAGCAGUAAUGGAGUCCUCCUGCUUGUUGGACCAGCAGCAUUAAAUGUAUUGUAUAGGCCCUGUGUGUAAGUGUGUAGGUAGCAUGAGGGCAACAUUAACUGAAUUUAGGGAUAGCCUGGGUAGAGACCACCCCACUUAACCAAAUACCCCUCUCCUUGGAGCCCCACAAGAAGCCAA